GGGCCAGGGCGGCGUGCUUACCAUGCAGUCGAACGAUGAAGCCCAGCUUGCUGGGUGGAUUAGUGGCGAACGGGUGAGUAACACGUGAGCAACCUGCCCCUGACUCUGGGAUAAGCGCUGGAAACGGCGUCUAAUACUGGAUAUGUCCCGUCACCGCAUGGUGUGCGGGUGGAAAGAUUUUUCGGUUGGGGAUGGGCUCGCGGCCUAUCAGCUUGUUGGUGAGGUAAUGGCUCACCAAGGCGUCGACGGGUAGCCGGCCUGAGAGGGUGACCGGCCACACUGGGACUGAGACACGGCCCAGACUCCUACGGGAGGCAGCAGUGGGGAAUAUUGCACAAUGGGCGGAAGCCUGAUGCAGCAACGCCGCGUGAGGGAUGACGGCCUUCGGGUUGUAAACCUCUUUUAGCAGGGAAGAAGCGAAAGUGACGGUACCUGCAGAAAAAGCACCGGCUAACUACGUGCCAGCAGCCGCGGUAAUACGUAGGGUGCAAGCGUUAUCCGGAAUUAUUGGGCGUAAAGAGCUCGUAGGCGGUCUGUCGCGUCUGCUGUGAAAUCCCGAGGCUCAACCUCGGGCUUGCAGUGGGUACGGGCAGACUAGAGUGCGGUAGGGGAGAUUGGAAUUCCUGGUGUAGCGGUGGAAUGCGCAGAUAUCAGGAGGAACACCGAUGGCGAAGGCAGAUCUCUGGGCCGUAACUGACGCUGAGGAGCGAAAGGGUGGGGAGCAAACAGGCUUAGAUACCCUGGUAGUCCACCCCGUAAACGUUGGGAACUAGUUGUGGGGUCCUUUCCACGGAUUCCGUGACGCAGCUAACGCAUUAAGUUCCCCGCCUGGGGAGUACGGCCGCAAGGCUAAAACUCAAAGGAAUUGACGGGGACCCGCACAAGCGGCGGAGCAUGCGGAUUAAUUCGAUGCAACGCGAAGAACCUUACCAAG
rnacentral:rRNA from 1 species